UACGUAGGGGGCAAGCGUUGUCCGGAAUCAUUGGGCGUAAAGAGCGUGUAGGCGGUUCGGUAAGUCGGCUGUGAAAGUCCAGGGCUCAACCCUGGGAUGCCGGUCGAUACUGCCGGACUAGAGUCCGGAAGAGGAGAGUGGAAUUCCUGGUGUAGCGGUGAAAUGCGCAGAUAUCAGGAAGAACACCUAUGGCGAAGGCAGCUCUCUGGGACGGUACUGACGCUGAGACGCGAAAGCGUGGGGAGCGAACAGG
rnacentral:rRNA from 1 species